rnacentral:rRNA from 1 species
AACGAACGCUGGCGGCAUGCCUAACACAUGCAAGUCGAACGAGACCUUCGGGUCUAGUGGCGCACGGGUGCGUAACGCGUGGGAACCUGCCCUUAGGUUCGGAAUAACUCCCCGAAAGGGGUGCUAAUACCGGAUAAUGUCUUCGGACCAAAGAUUUAUCGCCUUUGGAUGGGCCCGCGUUGGAUUAGCUAGUUGGUAGGGUAAAAGCCUACCAAGGCGACGAUCCAUAGCUGGUCUGAGAGGAUGAUCAGCCACACUGGGACUGAGACACGGCCCAGACUCCUCCGGAAGGCGGCAGUGGGGAUUAUUGGACAUGGGGCGAAAGCCUGAUCAAGCAAGGCCGCGUGAGUGAUGAAGGCCUUAGGUUUGUAAAGCUCUUUUACCCGGGAGGAUAAUGACAGUACCGGGAGAAUAAGCUCCGGCUACCUCCUU